rnacentral:misc_RNA from 1 species
CUAGAGCAUUUACAAGAUGACAGUGCCAUCUUCCAUACCUAAAAACCUCACUAAACCCUGAGAAGACGAAGAGAGAGAGAUAUGUUUCAGAGCAAAGUGUUAUCCUCUAUUUUGAAGAGGAACAAGGGAGCUAUUAAUACUGUAAUAUCCAAUUUCAGAGGUAGAACGUCUCCGUUUAAGGAUUUGAUGGAACAGCCUUCAACAUCAUUCUUCAAUGUCUUUAGAUCCUCACCUGUGUGUCAUCACAUCCCAUCUAUGAGGAAUAUGUCCACUGCAGCAUCUAUUGGCAUGGAAGGUAAGGAAGGAUUAAAGCUUCUUGUAACGGGGGGACCCCGAGCUCAAAAAAUGGUUGGCAUAUGGCUUUUUGGUUCUGCUAUGUGGGUUUUUAGCAUGGUGGUCCUUGGUGGUGUCACACGGCUAACUCGAUCUGGUCUUUCAAUGACUGAUUGGAAAUUUACUGGUAGCCUCCCUCCUGUUUCAGAUGAGGAAUGGUUGAAUGAAUUUGAAAAAUAUAAGCAGUCACCUGAGUAUAAGCGUGUAAACAAAGGGAUGAGUGUUGAAGAUUUCAAAUUUAUAUAUUGGAUGGAAUAUGCACAUCGUAUGUGGGGAAGGGGACUGGGUAUCAUGUUCGCUCUGCCAUUUUCAUAUUUUCUGCGCAAGGGAUAUAUAACCUUGCGACUUGGACUAAGACUCUCUACUCUUUUUGCCCUUGGUGCUGGGCAGGGUCUAAUUGGCUGGUGGAUGGUUAAAAGUGGCCUAGAGGAGCCAGCAUCUGACUAUGCUCAGCCAAGAGUAAGCCCUUACCGUCUUGCAGCACAUCUUACUUCGGCAUUUGUUAUUUACAGUGGCCUGUUCUGGACUGCUCUUUCUGUUGUAAUGCCUGAACCACCUGCUGAAUCUUUAGCUUGGGUUCGUGGGGCAGCAAAAGUGAAGAGACUUGCUCUUCCUGCUAGCCUCAUUGUAGGCAUUACUGCUGUCUCAGGGGCCUUUGUUGCUGGAAAUGAUGCUGGGCAUGCAUAUAACACUUUCCCCAAGAUGGGUGAUACAUGGAUUCCUGAAGAUAUCUUUGAAAUGAAGCCACUAAUUCGAAACUUCUUUGAGAAUACAUCAACUGUGCAGCUUGACCACCGUAUCCUUGCAACUACUACCUUGAUUUCAAUUGGUGGAUUGUGGUGGUUCACGAGAAAGCUGGACAUACAUCCAGCAGUACGAUCUUUAAUUGGAAGCACACUUGGCAUGGCUGCUCUGCAGGUCACCUUAGGGAUAUCAACACUUCUAUCAUAUGUGCCUGUAUCACUUGGAACUGCACAUCAGGCUGGAGCCUUAACGCUUAUGACACUUAUGAUUCUGCUCAACCACACAGUGCGCAAGCCAUCUGUAUCUCUUCUAAAAUCACUUCCUCAAGUAGUGAAGACGGUCUGAUUAUCCAAGAAAUUUGCAAUAGAGUAUUCAGUUAGUUUUAUCAAAUGCAAAAAUGCAUUGGACUGUCAUUGUUGUUCUAAUUUAGUCAGUAAUGUUCAACUUCAGGUCCAUUAUUCCAAACAAAAGAGGGAGGAAUGAAUAUAUAUGAUCAUUUGUUGUGAUUAUGUGGCUAAUUGAUUUGCAUUUUCGAAAUUCAUUCACACUUAAUGUCCUUUCAAAACUUUUAUAUUCAAUUUGGAAACUUAAAUUCUAG